AUUGAACGCUGGCGGCAGGCUUAACACAUGCAAGUCGAGCGGAGCGAGGGUGCUUGCACCUUAGCUUAGCGGCGGACGGGUGAGUAAUGCUUAGGAAUCUGCCUAUUAGUGGGGGACAACAUUCCGAAAGGAAUGCUAAUACCGCAUACGCCCUACGGGGGAGAGCAGGGGAUCUUCGGACCUUGCGCUAAUAGAUGAGCCUAAGUCGGAUUAGCUAGGUGGUGGGGUAAAGGCCUACCAAGGCGACGAUCUGUAGCGGGUCUGAGAGGAUGAUCCGCCACACUGGGACUGGGACACGGCCCAGACUCCUACGGGAGGCAGCAGUGGGGAAUAUUGGACAAUGGGCGGAAGCCUGAUCCAGCCAGGCCGCGUGUGUGAGGAAGGCCUUUUGGUUGUAAAGCACUUUAAGCGAGGAGGAGGCUCUUAAGGUUAAUACCCUUGAUGAGUGGACGUUACUCGCAGAAUAAGCACCGGCUAACUCUGUGCCAGCCGCCGCCGUAACAC
rnacentral:rRNA from 1 species